UACGUAGGUGGCGAGCGUUGUCCGGAUUUACUGGGCGUAAAGAGCGCGCAGGCGGUCGUCCAAGUCGCGUGUGAAAGCCCCCGGCUCAACUGGGGAGGGUCACGGGAUACUGUUCGACUUGAAGGCAGGAGAGGGUAGUGGAAUUCCCGGUGUAGUGGUGAAAUGCGUAGAUAUCGGGAGGAACACCAGUGGCGAAGGCGACUACCUGGGCUGUUAUUGACGCUGAGGCGCGAAAGCUAGGGGAGCAAACGGG
rnacentral:rRNA from 1 species